CAGACAGGCAGGUACCUUAUCUAGACAGGUUACAGACAGGCAGGUACCUUAUCUAGACAGGUUACAGACAGGCAGACAGACAGACAGGUACCUUAUCUAUACAGGUUACAGACAGGCAGGUACCUUAUCUAGACAGGUCACAGACAGACAGACAGGUACCUUAUCUAUACAGGUUACAGACAGACAGGUACCUUAUCUAUACAGGUUACAGACAGGCAGGCCGGCAGGCAGACAGACAGACAGACAGGCAGGCAGGCAGGCAGGAAGGCAGGCAGGCAGAGGCAGGAUAUAUUACUGUAAUUCAAUAAUAUAAUAAAU
rnacentral:lncRNA from 1 species